AGGCGUGAUCUCGGCUCGCUACAACCUCCA
rnacentral:piRNA from 1 species